rnacentral:rRNA from 1 species
AGAGUUUGAUCAUGGCUCAGCCUGAACGCUGGCGGCGUGGCUAAGACAUGCAAGUCGCACGGGGUAGCAAUACCCAGUGGCGAACGGGUGAGUAAUGAAUCGCUAAUGUGCCCCGGACUCUGAGAUAGCUACCCGAAAGGGUAGGUAAUAUCAGAUGAUAUGCAGCUGUCGCAUGACAGUUGCCUCAAAGGUCCGCCGGUCUGGGAGCAGGCGAUUUCGUAUCAGCUAGUUGGUGAGGUAACGGCUCACCAAGGCGACGACGCGUAGCCGGACUGAGAGGUUGGCCGGCCACAUUGGGACUGAGACACUGCCCAGACUCCUACGGGGGGCUGCAGUAACGAAUCUUCCGCAAUGCACGAAAGUGUGACGGAGCGACGCCGCGUGUGGGACGAAGCCCUUCGGGGUGUAAACCACUGUCAGGGGUUACCAAGUUCUGAGGAGCCCCAGAGGAAGGGACGGCUAACUCUGUGCCAGCCGCCGCGGUAAUAC